rnacentral:misc_RNA from 1 species
GAUGAAGAACGUAGCGAAAUGCGAUACUUGGGGUGAAUUGCAGAAUCCCGUGAACCAUCGUGUCUUUGAACGCAAGUUGCGCCCGAAGCCGUCAGGCCGAGGGCACGCCUGCCUGGGCGUCACACGCCGUUGCCCCCCCGCGCCCCGCACCCAACGCUUUGGGAGCGACCGCGGGGCGGGCUGAUGAUGGCCUCCCGUGCGCUCCGCCGCGCGGUUGGCCCAAAUACCGAGUCCCCGGCGACGUGCGCCACGACGAUCGGUGGUUGAGAGACCUCUGUCGCAAGUCGUGCGCGCCCGUCGCGUCACGCGGGCUCGCAUAGCGCCUCGCGCCGCACCCGGUGCGGAGCUUUCAACGCGACCCCAGGUCAGGCGGGGUUACCCGCUGAAUUUAAGCAUAUCAAUAAGCGGAGGA